rnacentral:rRNA from 1 species
GGAAAUCUCACCAGGCCCGGACACUGGAAGGAUUGACAGAUUGAUACCUCUUUCUUGAUUCUGUGGGUGGUGGUGCAUGGCCGUUCUUAGUUGGUGGAGUGAUUUGUGGCUUAAUUUGACUCAACGCGGGAAAUCUCACCAGGCCCGGACACUGGAAGGAUUGACAGAUUGAUAGCUCUUUCUUGUUAGCAAUAA